rnacentral:lncRNA from 1 species
CGCGUUCUAUACACUGGUCCCCAUACGACCCCGUUCGCGUGGUGAACGCCGAUCCUUAAGGACUUUGCCCGGCGUGUCUCUCCGCCCACCCCUCGCUUUCAAUCCCCGCCAUCGACGCCUUUCAACUCCGCUUCUGACGCCUUUCAACUCCACCCCGACAUCGCUUUGUAUGGAACGGCCCUUAGGCGUGCCUCUCCGUGCUUCGCGUCAUGCGCGCGCACACCGGACGCGACAAGAUCAUCAAGUUCGAGGGGUGCUACCACGGCCACGCGGACCCGUU